AUAGGACGCCAUUUCAGUGACAGGGUGUGAAGAGCCUAUUGAGCUAGUUGGUAGUCCUCCGGCCCCUGAAUGCGGCUAAUCCUAACCACGGAGCGUCCACCAGCAAACCAGCUGACAGGGCGUCGUAACGGGUAACUCUGUGGCGGAACCGACUACUUUGGGUGUCCGUGUUUCCUUUUGAUCCUAUUUUGGCUGCUUAUGGUGACAACGAUAAGUUGUUAUCAUAAAGCUUUUGGGUUGGCCACCUGGAA
rnacentral:other from 13 species